rnacentral:rRNA from 1 species
ACGGGAGGCAGCAGUGGGGAAUAUUGGGCAAUGGGCGAAAGCCUGACCCAGCAACGCCGCGUGAAGGAAGAAGAUUUUCGGAUUGUAAACUUCUUUUAUGUGGGACGAAGGAAGUGACGGUACCACAUGAAUAAGCCCCGGCUAACUACGUGCCAGCAGCCGCGGUAAUACGUAGGGGGCGAGCGUUAUCCGGAUUUACUGGGUGUAAAGGGCGCGUAGGCGGGGAUGCAAGUCAGAUGUGAAAGCACGAGGCUCAACUUCGUGUCUGCAUUUGAAACUGACGUUCUUGAGUGUUGGAGAGGCUAACGGAACUCCUAGUGUAGCGGUGAAAUGCGUAGAUAUUAGGAAGAACACCAGUGGCGAAGGCGGUUAGCUGGACAAUAACUGACGCUGAGGCGCGAAAGCGUGGGUAGCAAACAGGAUUAGAUACCCUGGUA